rnacentral:rRNA from 1 species
AUGAACGCUGGCGGCGUGCUUAACACAUGCAAGUCGAACGAAGCACUUUAUUUGAUUUCCUUCGGGACUGAUUAUUUUGUGACUGAGUGGCGGACGGGUGAGUACGCGUGGGUAACCUGCCUUGUACAGGGGGAUAACAGUUGGAAACGGCUGCUAAUACCGCAUAAGCGCACGGCAUCGCAUGAUGCAGUGUGAAAAACUCCGGUGGUAUAAGAUGGACCCGCGUUGGAUUAGCUAGUUGGUGAGGUAACGGCCCACCAAGGCGACGAUCCAUAGCCGACCUGAGAGGGUGACCGGCCACAUUGGGACUGAGACACGGCCCAAACUCCUACGGGAGGCAGCAGUGGGGAAUAUUGCACAAUGGGCGAAAGCCUGAUGCAGCGACGCCGCGUGAGCGAAGAAGUAUUUCGGUAUGUAAAGCUCUAUCAGCAGGGAAGAUAAUGACGGUACCUGACUAAGAAGCACCGGCUAAAUACGUG